rnacentral:tRNA from 1 species
GGGAAGGUAGCUAAGCGGUAGAGUGCAUGCCUUGCAAGCAUGAGGACCUGGGUUUGAUUCCUCAGCACCA